rnacentral:rRNA from 1 species
UACGUAGGGGGCGAGCGUUGUCCGGAUUUACUGGGCGUAAAGGGCGCGUAGGCGGCCUGGCAAGUGACGGGUGAAAGCCCUCGGCUCAACCGAGGAACUGCCUGUCAUACUGCCGGGCUUGAGUCCGGGAGAGGUGAGUGGAAUUCCCAGUGUAGCGGUGAAAUGCGUAGAUAUUGGGAGGAACACCAGUGGCGAAGGCGGCUCACUGGACCGGAACUGACGCUGAGGCGCGAAAGCGUGGGGAGCAAACAGG